UGAGUGCGAGCUUCUACGGAAGCGAAGUUGGUGACGUCAAGCUUCCAAAAAAGCCCUAUACCCGUUAAGGCAUGAUUACCUGUACCCGAAACCGACACAGGUGGGGUGGUAGAGAAUACCGAGGGGCGCGAGGUAACUCUCUCUAAGGAACUCGGCAAAAUGACCCCGUAACUUCGGGAGAAGGGGUGCCAGCGCGAGCUGGUCGCAGUGAAUAGGCCCAGGCGACUGUUUACCAAAAACACAGGUCUCCGCUAAGUCGCAAGACGAUGUAUGGGGGCUGACGCCUGCCCAGUGCCGGAAGGUUAAAGAAGUUGGUCAGCGCAAGCGAAGCUAACGACUGAAGCCCCGGUGAACGGCGGCCGUAACAAUAACGGUCCUAAGGUAGCGAAAUUCCUUGUCGGGUAAGUUCCGACCCGCACGAAAGGCGUAACGAUCUGGGCGCUGUCUCGGAGAGAGGCUCGGCGAAAUAGAAUUGUCUGUGAAGAUGCGGACUACGUGCACCCGGACAGAAAGACCCUAUGAAGCUUUACUGUAGCUUGGUAUUGUGCUCGGGCUCGCAAUGCGCAGGAUAGGUGGGAGGCUUUGAUCCAUUGCUUGUGGGUGAUGGUGAGCCACUGGUGAGAUACCACUCUUUGCGAGCUAGGGUUCUAACGGUUACCCGUCAUCCGGGAACCGGACAGUAUCUGGUGGGCAGUUUGACUGGGGCGGUCGCCUCCUAAAAGGUAACGGAGGCGCGCAAAGGUUUGCUCAGGCUGGUUGGAAAUCAGCCGACGAGUGUAAAAGCAGAAGCAAGCUUGACUGUGAGACCUACAAGUCGAACAGGGAGGAAACUCGGCUUUAGUGAUCCGACGGUUCUGAGUGGAAGGGCCGUCGCUCAACGGAUAAAAGUUACUCUAGGAUAACAGGCUGAUCUCCCCCAAGAGUUCACAUCGACGGGGAGGUUUGGCACCUCGAUGUCGGCUCAUCGCAACCUGGGGCUGAAGUCGGUCCCAAGGGUUGGGCUGUUCGCCCAUUAAAGCGGUACGCGAGCUGGGUUCAGAACGUCGUGAGACAGUUCGGUCCAUAUCCGGUGCAUGCGCAGGAAUAUUGAGAGGAUUUCUCCCUAGUACGAGAGGACCGGGAGGAACGCACCUCUGGUGUACCAGUUAUCGUGCCAACGGUAAACGCUGGGUAGCCAUGUGCGGAGUGGAUAACCGCUGAAAGCAUCUAAGUGGGAAGCCCACCUCAAGAUGAGUAUUCCCAUGGCCUAAGCCAGUAAGGUCACGGGAAGAACACCCGUUGAUAGGCUCUAUGUGGAAGCGCAGUAAUGCGUGAAGCAGAGGAGUACUAAUAGACC
rnacentral:rRNA from 1 species